rnacentral:rRNA from 1 species
UACGGAGGGUGCAAGCGUUAAUCGGAAUUACUGGGCGUAAAGCGCACGCAGGUGGCUGAGUCAGUCGAUUGUGAAAGCCCUGGGCUUAACCUGGGAAUUGCAGUCGAUACUACUCGGCUAGAGUAUGGGAGAGGGCAGUGGAAUUCCCGGUGUAGCGGUGAAAUGCGUAGAUAUCAGUCGGAACACCCGUGGCGAAGGCGGCUUCUUGGGCCGUAACUGACGCUGAGGCGCGAAAGCUGGGGGAGCGAACGGG